CACAGUAUGAGCUCCUCGCCUCGACCUGACUAGUUCUUGUUUAGAGCCGGGUCGAACUUCCACCCUCUACCUGGCUGACAUCAGCGAGUGACAUCAGAAGGGACGGACGCCAAGUGCAGUUCCAGGUAGCUAACAAGUCCCACACAAACGGCUCGGUCGGCUCAGUUCGCGCCUGGUGCCAGUGGCCGAAGGAUCGUGGCGGCAGGACCCGGUUGGAGAGAGAGAAAGAGAGAGAGAAAGAGAGAGAGAGAGAGAGAGAAAGAGAGAAAGAGAGAGACUUCGAGGUGCUUCACCCUGCUGCGUCCUCGGUCUCGGACCUGCUGUUCUCGUGCUCUCGUGUCAGCUCCUGCUCUCUUUCCCGCCGACUGCAGCGCCGAGGCAUCUCUUCGCUGGAUUUGGCGAAUAAUUCAGACCAUGGAGGAAGAACUGGAGGCAGGGUCAAGAGCUCUCUUCACGUGGCGGAGGAACGCCAGGAUGCAAAGUGG